AACAGAAGGAAAAAAUUAUUCAGUGUCAUGCUGUCCUAUUUGGACUGCAUUUACUAUGUGUUCAUAAUGAUGUUAUCAUGCAAAUUGCACGGUCCACUGAUCAUCCUGUGAACAAAACCCAGACAUAAUGUCAGCAACUUCACCGCAGAUUUCAACUAUACUAGACAUCUGUCACAUGGAUGAUUUCAGAGAAUGAGAACUCUCAUUUAAUCUAACAAUUAAAUGGAAAGACAACCAACGAUACAAAACUGAGCUUUUGCAUAAGCAGUAGGACUGCUGCACUAUCUUGGACAGAACUUACAGAUUUGAAAACUGCAAAUGAGGAGAAAAAUCUAAGGAGGAGAGAAAUCUAUCACUUCAUGUUUUGUUUCAUACCUCCAUGAAAGUGUAGGUGAGUUUGUUUGAAGACUUUGCGGACGGAGGGGCCGGCAGCCACUGGCGUGCCAUGCCAACAUUUGUUUACGCAUGGGAGAAGCACACUUUUGACUGCGCCAAAUGCCACCUUCCAGUUCCCCGUUCCUCCAUCAUCGCA